rnacentral:lncRNA from 1 species
GGCUGGGACGCAAGAACACGGGUUUAUGUCCCUGGCUGUGCCACGCAUGACCUUGUCAAGCCUCAGUUCUAGGCAUAGCCUGCCAUUCCUGAUCUUGGAAGGACAUUUGAGCACGGGGUGAGAGAUGGACAUCCCUUGAAAGGGGACUACAGUUCGGGUCUUUGCACGUGGUGGAGGUUGCUAAAGUGGAAGCCAAAAUCCCUUUCCUCUUCAGAAGGUGCUUCCUUCCCCUCUGCCUUUUGCCGUGAUUGUAAGUUUCCUGAGGCCUCCCAGCCAUGCUUCCUGUACAGCCUGCAGAACUGUGAGUCAAUUCAACCUCUUUUCUUCAUAAAUUAC